AUUGAACGCUGGCGGCAGGCCUAACACAUGCAAGUCGAACGAGUGGCGGACGGGUGAGUAAUGUCUGGGAAACUGCCUGAUGGAGGGGGAUAACGACUGGAAACGGUAGCUAAUACCGCAUAACAGCGGAUGUGCCCAGAUGGGAUUAGCUAGUAGGUGGGGUAAAGGCUCACAUAGGCGACGAACCCUAGCUUGGCCGAGAUGAUGACCAGCCACACUGAGACUGAGACUCUGUCCAGACGCCUACGCGACGCUGCAGUGGGGAAUAUUGCACAAUGGGCGCAAGUCUGAUGCAGCCAUGCCGCGUGUAUGAAGAAGGCCUUCGGGUUUUAAAGUACUUUCAGCUGGGAGGCGUUACCCGCAGAAGAAGCACCGGCUAACUCCGUGCCAGCAGCCGCGGUAAUUC
rnacentral:rRNA from 1 species